UGGGGAAGUAUUGGGCAAUGGGCGCAAGCCUGACCCAGCAACGCCGCGUGAAGGAAGAAGGCUUUCGGGUUGUAAACUUCUUUUGACAGGGAAGAGCAGAAGACGGUACCUGUCGAAUAAGCCACGGCUAACUACGUGCC
rnacentral:rRNA from 1 species